GCGGAAGUAGUUCAGUGGUAGAACAUCACCUUGCCAAGGUGAGGGUCGCGGGUUCGAGUCCCGUCUUCCGCUCCA
rnacentral:tRNA from 3 species